UCCCUGGUAGUAUAUCGGUUAGUACACGCGCCUGUCAUAAGGCAUUCCUCGUGACUUACGCAAUCGCGCGAAAGCUGGGUUCGACUCCCAGCCAGGGAG